UUCAUUGGGAUUUCCACUUUAAUGACUGUAUUUUUGUGUCUAUAGUCAGCUAAUUGACGUUAGCAAUUGGUUGGGUAGUUGAAAUGCUUUUAAGAAGUUAUAUUUAUAUCCAAAAUGAGUUUCAGAGAAUCAGCCUCAAAGUUGAAUGAAUGGAACUGGUUAAAGUACGGUUAAAUGGUGGGUUAGCGUUAAGACAUGAAACUAAAAUUGAGGGUUACAAAAUGAAUUAAUUUUAUAAUUUUUUUACACUUUAUAUUUGUAUUUUCUUUGGUGCACCAUCACUUUAAAGUGGCUUAAAGAAUGAAAUAUGAAUUACAGUAAAGAUAGUAUGUAGCUUGAAUGGUUAAAGAAACUAACUUCCUAUACUUAACGGUUUAAGGUGUUUUCAGUUCAUUUGGUGGACAUUAAACCCAAAUGAAAUGA